UCCAGAAAAGCAUGCCAGCAACUGACUGCUUGACGUAGUGCAAGGUAAUUAGCAUUGUCACCUUUCAGCAUUCCCUGUAGUUUUUGUUGAAGAGAUACGACAGCAGCAUGAGUCAUUUCCUCUUUUUCCCUCCCACAGAUUGAUUUUUUAGUUUUGCAUGAGAUUAUUCUACGCCACAGAUUGACCCUACAAAUGCUCCAUUUAGAGUGAUUUUUGUAAGAAAAACAGAAGGGUAAAGGAAAAAAGAAAGAACGAAAUAGGAAACUGUUAGGAUCGAUUAGAAGUUCACACACACUAAAUCUAUGGAGAGGAUGAAGAAAACUAGAGAGGGUUUUGAGGAGAGAGAGAGAGGUAAUUUCAUGGUAACACCCGUGGGUAACCUCCACAACCUAACAGCAACUUAGCAUGCAUAAAUGUCAGUAUAUUUAUGAUGACAAGAGCUAAAUAUUUCCACUGAUGUAAUUACACACAAGGAGACAAGUCCAAAGUCUAACUUCGCAAAUUCAAGCUAUGAUUUAUCCUUACUGGCAUUUACUGUGGAUUCUUGAGGAAGAGGAAGUCGAGAAAUCAAACAGCUAAUAGCAAAAGAGAAAAAGAGAACUUUGAAAAGAAGAAUGAAUAAAUAUAAAAGAAAUAUUUUUGGAAAAAGAGAAGGUAAAUUAAAGUCACCUCACACCAAGUUCUAAACCUAUGCUUAACCUCAAACUUCCCAGCUAUUUUUGACACUUUUGACUAAAUAUUAUAGAUACCACGCAAACAUUAUGAUGAAGUACCAGAAUUAUCCCUGUAUCGAUCUUGAAUUUGGUAGUGUCAGAAUAACCUGCUAUCUGAUUUCACCACCAAGACACUACAAACUCUACUAAUCAGAAAAGGAACGACACUACAAAAUGGACAUGAGUUCAUAUCAAUGUGAUAUAAGAUGUGAAACAUAGCUAAACGCUCUAUAUUUUAUAGGCUUAAUGACAGAUAUAUCCAUUCAUGCAAGUUUCUGGUGAUUUAACUUAUGCUGAGUAUGGUAUGAAAAAUUACAAGGCCGUCUUUUAUUUCAACAAUUGUUUUGUUUCUAACUUACUAUCAUAUCGAAAAUUGCCUUGCUUUCUUCUUUUUUUUUCCGUUUAACCACCUGGUAUUCGAACUCGAGACCUCUUGUUAAGCGUAGAAAGAUCUCGUCUGUCUUACAACACUUGAUGCUGCCCAUGUUCUACAGGUAUCUUCUCUUUGUGACUAUAUAUUUGUUUUUCAUUUAUUAGUAGCACUAGCCUCUUUGAUUAGAAAAAAUAUGGGGAAGAAAAAGACAUACAUUUCAAAACAAAAACAAACGGUGUUAGAAAAAGAAACAGAUUCGAUUGUAGGAAACUAAAUCAAAAAUGCUUUUCUGAGAAUAAAUAACAAAAUGAACUCGGGUGUUAGAAAAAAAUACCUAAAAUAUCCAAAACAAACACAACAAGAACAACAACAUACCAGUAUAAUCCCACGAGUGGGAAACAUACCAAGUAAAAAGUACCUAAAGCAAAUGUUCUCUGAAAUUGUUUUCAAAACUUUUUUCACAGAUCAAUUGGCUCUCUAAAAUCAAACCAAAACCAUAUAUAUAUAUAUAGAGAGAGAGAGAUGGUUUCUUCAAAAACAUUUCUUAAGCAGAACGCAAAAGCUUCAUCGAAAAGCUCAAGUGAUUAUAAGAGAUUACAAUCCAAAGGAUGACCAUACUUCAUAAUAACCCAAAACAGCAAGCAACUAAUAAUAUAUGAGUCAAAAAUAUCCAAACACAUCAGAAACAGCAACAGAGAAAACAACAAAAACAAAAAUCAACAAACAACAUACCAGUCAACAUAUAGUUCCACAAGUGGGGUCUAGGGAGGGUGGGAUAUGCGCAGACCUUACCCUACCGUUGUGGGAUAGACAGGUGGUUUCCGAUAGACAAAGAAACAUCAAUCAACAUGUAUAUAUAUUCAGAGUUGCUAAUUCAGAAUAAACAUAC
rnacentral:lncRNA from 1 species